rnacentral:lncRNA from 1 species
AAUGUACAAAUAUUGCAAUAAUGUCUCUUGUAACGUUUACGUCAAAACUUCCGUCAAUUGUCAUCGAAUAAGAACAAAAAAGAGGCAGAUUUUCAAUUCUGCAUUUCGAAGAUGAUUAAGAACUAGAUGUCGGCAUGGAAGAGCAGUGAUUUCUCCAACAAGACGGCGCGCCACUACACUAUGCCCUUCCUGCUCGAGUAUAUUUAAACCAAUUAUUUUCCAAUUGAUAGAUUCGGAGAAGAGGCCCGAUUUGACUCUGCUGUACUUCUUCCUUUAAAUUUACACCACUAGACCAAAUACUUCUAAUGAACAAAAAAUCAGAAUCCUAGAACUUGAGAGAAUAAUUCUUGUUACCUUAGGGAAUUGUCGAAGAAUUUAAAAAUCGUUUACGAGCUGCCCAAGGUGAGGCCAAUCCUUUAAAAGUAUAGAUAGUACCGAUUUGUCUCAGUUGUGCACCAGUUAAACAUGCACUGAAAUUACAAACACCUUUAAGAAAGUUAUUUUGUUCAGCAAUAUAAUGACAUCAACUAUGGUUUUCCUGUAGUCUAACUUUUGAAGACAAUUUCUCAAUUUAACAGUUUGUGGACGAAUUGCAUGGAUUUAGGAUGGUCAAUCAUUGUGUAACUAAAAUGGGGCCAACACGUUGAUUGUAAAUAUAUUGUCUAAUAUUCAAUGGAACUUCCUUAGGUCUAUCAAAUUAAUUACGAAAAAGGAAAAUUGAUGCUGAAUGUGACUUUCCACUGUCACAUGUAGGUUAUUAUCAGAUCCACAUAAAUGUAUAUUAUUUCCACAAUAUGUUGCUGAGGUAUCUUAAUGAUUUCAUAUUUGUGAUAUGUAGUUAGGAAUCAGUCUUUCAUGGCUGUGCUAUGGAUGGGUACGCUAGUGUUCUACAAAGAAUAAUUGCCACAGAGCUUCAGAAUAAUUCUUUGUGGAAUGCAUGUGUAUGUGCAACCUGUACAUUUUGGGAUCUGCGUUUUUGAUAAUUUAUUUUGUUAAAGUAUCCAAAAUGUAACUCUUUCUUAUAAUUCUGCUUAUUUUCUAUGUACUUCAUAUUAUGUAACUGAUCACAUAAUUAUAAGGACUUAUCUUGGUCAAAGAGGUUGAGAUGAGAUCUUUUCGAGAUAUACAGGGUGUCAAAUAAAAAACGCCCCUUUGUCAUUUACAUUCUGAUUUUCAUGAGCGAGAUAUCAAAUAGUAUAAUAGGAUAAUAAAAAUAGUUCGAAAAAAAAGCAGAUUGACACUAAUGAAGUUCAAGCUCUUUGUCA